GACGAACGCUGGCGGCGUGCUUAACACAUGCAAGUCGAACGAAAAGAGGGAAAGAGCUUGCUCUUUCCGGAAUUGAGUGGCAAACGGGUGAGUAACACGUAAACAACCUGCCUUCAGGAUGGGGACAACAGACGGAAACGACUGCUAAUACCGAAUAAGUUCCAAGAGCCGCAUGGCCCAUGGAAGAAAAGGUGGCCUCUACCUGUAAGCUAUCGCCUGAAGAGGGGUUUGCGUCUGAUUAGCUGGUUGGAGGGGUAACGGCCCACCAAGGCGACGAUCAGUAGCCGGUCUGAGAGGAUGAACGGCCACACUGGAGCUGAGACACGGUCCAGACGCCUACGGGAGGCAGCAGUGGGGAAUCUUCCGCAAUGGGCGAAAGCCUGACGGAGCAACGCCGCGUGAGUGAUGACGGCCUUCGGGUUGUAAAACUCUGUGAUCCGGGACGAAAAGGCAGAGUGCGAAGAACAAACUGCAUUGACGGUACCGGAAAAGCAAGCCACGGCUAACUACGUG
rnacentral:rRNA from 1 species